UGGUUUGACCAGGAAGAAGUGGGAAUUCUGGGAUGUUGUGGUCAAACCAAUGGGUGCUUGGAUUUUGAUAUUGGCACCUGGGAUAACCAGUGGGUUUUAGGACACACCUCCGAGAACACACAGGGGUUAAAAGCAGAGCUUCGGCCCCGGGAGGCUCUCUUGGGACUUCGAGGGACGCAGGUCGGAGCUCUCCCCUGUCCAGCCGCUGCUGCUGGGCGGGGGAGGGGCAGCCAUGCGGCCUUACAGAACAUUAACCCUUCCUAGACGAGUGAUAAGAGAGGAGGAGGAUGAAGGAAAUGAACGAGUGAUGGAGGUCUGGACCAGAGAGAGAGAGAGUGAGAGAUGUUGAAAGAAUGGAGAAGAUGGAGUGGCAUUUAAUGCUGGACUCUUUUGUGUAGUCAUGGACAGAGCUAUGUUUCCGUGAGAUACAGAGACUGAGUCCAGGGGGAGAAAUGUCCCAGAGCCAAAGAAGAGUCAGUGUGUGGACCCCUCGGCCCCAGGGGGUAUAUAAAAUAUGGGGGGGACGGAUGUCCCAGAGGAUGAGAAGGUGAGAUACUGUGCUUUUCUGGAACUGGACAAAGCAUCCUUAAAAAGACAACCCUGGAAGCAGCCCUGAUCCCUGUUCGGUGGUGAGAGCACCGGAACAAGGACGGAAAAGGCCACCACGACACAUGGAAGGACUCCCUCUCCUCUUGAGGAGCUGAAAGUUUGACCAAUCUAAAGGGUGGUGCCAGACGGAGUGUGAAUAAUUUUGGGAGUGUGGAUAAUUUUGGGAGAUGAAUUGUACGGGGAUCUGGAGGAGGAGGGGGAAGUGUUUCUGUGUAGUUUUCAUUCUCCUUGUGAUUUCUUUUUUUUUUUUCCCUUUGUGUAUGUGUAGUUUAGUGUUUGUUUGUAGUUUAGUAAUUGUUUGUAUGUAGCUUAGUUAAUAAACUUUUCUGUAGGUUGAA